rnacentral:lncRNA from 1 species
UUAUAUAUUCUUAUGUUCCCAUUAAGGCCGUGGGUCAAUGAGAACAUUGUGCAGUAUGAGCCAUUAGAUGAAAAUGAGAUUAAAUCCUAGCCGUUAUAAUUAGGAAAAACAUUCUAGAAGGAGAGGUUUUUUUUUGGUUAAUUUUGACCAAAGAAGGCCGUUUGCAGCAGUUAAGGGUUUCCUAUCUUCCGGGGAUUCAGUUCGCGUUGGUUUUAGACGACGCUCCCAUGUUGUCCACUUCCCGUAAUUUAGCUGCAGUUGAAGACGGUUUUUGGGUUUGUACAAGAAUGCAGUUGUUAAAAGAGUGGGUAUAAAACUAGAUCGGUAUGAACAACAUCGAAAGUUUUUAGAGUUUUUUCAUCAAAAUCUACAGUAAAAAACGAGGAGAUUCAAACAGGGCUGUGUUGUACUUGGCUGGUAGUAAUACGACGAACUGGUGGUAUGUUCGAUGCCCUUUUCAUCACUGCCGACUUUGGUUUUUCGGUUGCCCCUCAUCCCUCCCGGGUAUAUUGAGCACAGAUUCGUGUAAAAUCCUUUGGAUGCUGUAAUUGAAGGGCGAAAUUGAAGCGUAACAGGUGAUGAGUUUCUGGGUUUAAGUUUUUAUGAACCGGGAAAAGCUUUAUAGUCUGCAAACAGUUUCUGUUCUCGUGAAUUAGAGAAAAUAGGCG